rnacentral:lncRNA from 1 species
GUGCCUUGAACGUGAGCAAAACUUGUGUGAACGCUUAGCUCUUAUUAUGUGUGAGAGAUCCCACACUGGGGAGAAACCUUACAGAUGUGAUAUGUGUGAGAAAACCUUCGUCCAAAGCUCAGAGCUGCUUUCACACCAGAGGGUCCACAAUUACGAGAAACCUUAUAAAUGCAGCAAAUGCGAGAAGAGCUUCUGGCAUCACUUAGCCCUUUCGGGACACCAGAGGACACACGCAGGUAAAAAAUUCUAUACCUGUGACAUCUGUGGCAAGAAUUUCGGCCAGAGCUCCGACCUGCUUGUCCACCAGCGAAGCCAUACGGGCGAGAAGCCGUAUCUGUGUAGCGAGUGUGAUAAAUGCUUCAGUCGAAGCACGAACCUCAUAAGGCACCGAAGAACUCACACGGGUGAGAAGCCGUUUAAGUGUCUGGAGUGUGAAAAGGCUUUUAGUGGGAAGUCAGACCUCAUCAGCCACCAGAGAACUCAUACUGGCGAAAGGCCCUAUAAAUGCAACAAGUGUGAGAAAAGUUACCGACACCGUUCAGCCUUCAUUGUUCAUAAAAGAGUUCACACUGGGGAGAAGCCCUAUAAGUGUGGCGCCUGUGAGAAGUGCUUUGGCCAGAAAUCAGACCUUAUUGUACAUCAGAGAGUCCAUACGGGCGAGAAGCCGUAUAAGUGCUUGGAGUGCAUGAGAAGCUUUACGCGGAGCGCUAACCUGAUCAGGCAUCAGGCAACUCACACUCACACUUUCAAAUGCCUCGAAUAUGAGAAAAGCUUCAGCUGUGGCUCAGACCUUAUUGUGCAUCAGAGAAUUCACAUGGACGAGAAACCGCCCCAGUGGUCUACAUGCGAGGGUGGCUUCCUCCUAGGCAUGGACUUCGUGGCCCAGCAGAAAAUGCGAACUCAGACCGAAGAGCUGCGUUAUAAGUACAGCGUGUGCGAUAAAAGCUUCCACCAGAGCCCAGCCCUUCUGCAACAUCAGACAAUCCACAUCGGUGAAAAACCGUAUAUCUGUAAUAUGGGUGACAAGGGUCUUGAGCUCAGCCCUCCCCAUGCAUCCGAAGCCUCACAGAUGUCUUGAUCAGACAAGGAGUUAUAAUCCCAUAGAAGGUGUAUGUACGUGUCCGAGAACUCAUAAGGUAAAGGACUCCAGGCGAAUCUCAGACUUUCCUCGGAGCUCAGACUUCCGUGGGGACCAGAGAAUGCAACUGUGGGAAGUUGAGAAAUGGUUUGCCCAGAGAGCUACCCUAGCAGGACACUUUUAUCAGUCACUCGAGUGAGAAACCUUACAAAUACCCUGAGUUUUGGAAAACCCGUAGUCCAAGCUCACAGCUGAUCACCCACGAGGGGAUUCGUACAGGUGGGAGACCUUGCAAAUGCAGUGAGUGUGAGAGAACUUUCUAGCGGUGCCCGCCCCCCCUCAUCCCACGAGAAUUCACACCAGAGGACUUUCUAAAUGCCCUCCGUGUCAACAGAGCUUCAGACAGUACGCACAUCGCAUCGGAUGUCAGAAAGCCCACGGUGGGGAGAAACCCCAGCGAGUGUGUAAAAAGCUUCUAACAGAACUGUGACUUUUUUUACUCUUCAGAGAAGCCAUACUGGUGAAAGUGUGUCUAUUUGUCUUGAAUGUGGCAAAUCCAUUCAUUGGGAGAGCCUCCUUGGGUUUGCACCAAAGAAACCCAAUCUGAGGAAGGACCUUACAGAGUCUCUGAAUGAGAAAAACUUCUGUCAGUGAUCCGCUCUUGUGGUAUCCCGGGGCACUCACACAAGUGAAAAAGCCCCUGGAGUCUGAAAAAAGCCUUGUCAGAAACUCUCCUACCUUACCGGGUCCCAAAGAACGUACUCUGCAGAGAACUUUUUGCCAGUGAGAGAUCUAAUUGUGUGGACUGUGUACAUAUAAUAGGUAUGAAGAGAACUGUUCUCAUAGUUAGUUGACCCAUAUGGUAGAGAUGACUUUUAACGGAGUCAGUAUGUAAACAGUUUUUAGAUCCCCAGGAGCUCGUUCUGGGAGGAGUGAGGGCAGAUCGCGGUAGGCCUCAUGGGUAACUCAGGUAAAGAUGCUUUUCUUUUAUCUGAACCACUUCAUGAUUACUUUCGCUUUUUACAAUUUGGAAAUCCAAUAAAGGAAAGGACCGUAACCUUGUGAUAGAAGGUGUGACAUGUGUUACUGUUGGGGGAAAGGAUUGUAUUGACUUUGCCUCUGUCCCUUUUUUAUUCUUGACCAGAAUGGGGACUAGCGUGUUGAUAGUAGCCUGGGAACCAUUUGCUAGUAGUGAAAAGAACUGAACGGCCAGGGAGUAGUGACCCUAGAUCGAAACUGUCCCCCCAGGUUCCUCCUUCAGAGGGCCAACCUCAUAAAGAGGCAGAAUAGUCAGCUUGUGUAUUUUCGUGUGAGUUAAGGCAUCCCCUCAAAAGUUUCCUUUCCCUGAAAUACCUUUGAGAUGAUCGCUGGUUUUCGAAAUCUCCGCUUUAGAGAUUGAUUUCUUUCCAACUCACAAGUGCAAAUUUCAGCAGAACCGUCAUGACGUUGCUAGCGUGCACGUUGUUGGGACCUUAUCACGUCUCUUUCAGUGAUGAGACCCGCUCUUCAGAUCCUCGCAGGCUGAUUAAGGGAAACCAAAAGAAAGGUUUAAGCCUGAGCAGGCACAGAAAAGAACACAUAAUGAUGCAUUAUUAAUGGAGGAGCUAAACUUCUUGAUUCUGAUUAUCCCGACUCCAAAGCUGGUGUUCUUUUCACUCUGUUACCCUGCUGUUGAUAGCAAAUCAAGCCCCAUAAUGAUACGCUUUUCGUUUAUUUCAGUUCUGCCAAGAAAAGAGAAUACUUUUUAUUCCCAGGGAAAGGAUUGCAGUCACCACAACAGAAGGUAUCUGUUUGGCUUGGAAUGUAGGAUUCUAAAUGCUAGAAGGGAAAAGUAGUUGGCAAAUUCAUCAGAGGUUUAAGGAUGAGCACGUAUCUGCAAUUUACCAGGAUAAUUAUGAUUAUCUUUAACAUUCUCUAGAAAUACUAUAAUUAAUCCAGGGAUUAUUAACGGACAAUUCUGAGGGGUUUUUUCCUUCCCUCAGAUUAAAAGACAUUUAAUAUAAAUCCUUAAGAUUCCUCCAGUAUUUGGGAAUAUAGACUGGUGAGUCAGUAUGUUGUUGCUAGUCUGGGUUCUCUGGUUUAUUUUAACAAAUCCCCGAACUCCAGAGAGUGUUGGCAUUCGGACUCAUGGGUGGCCAGUGGCUACCUUGUGUGUGGCUCUAAGCUUUGAUCCUAAUGACUGGUUGAUGAUCUUGAUAAUCUUAGGGUCAGUGGAUAGAGCAUAUAGUGAUAAUAAGGAAUCUGAUUCUAGGGGAUUUUUUGUUUGUGUUUUCGUUUUUGCUUUUUUGUUUUUUUGUGUUUGAAAACAAUUGCUGGAAGUUUAUUCGAUCUGAUGUGUUUUAGUAAUUUUCAUACACAGCUCUUACACCAUGAAAAGUGGCCCAGUGUGACAAAACACGCAAGAUGUAUUUGUUUCUCUUCGGUGCAAAUCAUGCCCGUCACUAGUACAUGUUUGACAGUUGUAAUACUUAAAAUAGUAUUGGGCGUAUGGCCUGGUGGUGAUGACCGUUAGUCCGUAUGGCUACUUGUUAGUCAUUAGAACUUGGAGAAGGGGACAGAGUUUGUAUCGUCGCCAGGGCAGUGACUCGCCCCUUCUUUCAACUAAUCUUACCGGUAAUUGUCUCUCAUCUUUAAGUAAGUUAAGGAUGGACCAUCCCUCAAAAGGAGAACAUUAGGAGUAUGAGACAGGUCUGAGGGUGAGGGCUUUUAACUGUGGGGGAAAAGGUGUUGGUGUUGUUCAUAGAGCAUAACCUGAGGUUGGAGAGGACCACUUGGGAGCCUGUAACCUAAACUAGAAGGUAACUUCUGGGAUGGAUGGAGGUUCUCUUGAGACAGUGCCAACCUAAAUCUACCUCAGGUAAGUAGUUAGAGUACCUUUCAAGAUUUCAGACCAAACGAGACACUUGUAUUCAGUCAAUGUAUUCCUAUGCUUUAAUGUUUUUGUUUUCCCUUAAUUCUUAAAUAAACUUUUAUUCUGAAAAA